UCAAUCUUUGGAGAUUUAAAGUGCUCACUCAAAUGCACUGAAUGAGAGGAAUGUUUCAGCUCCAAUCAGCUCCUGUCUUCUUUGGAAACGUUGGCCUUGAGAUUCCAGCCUCUGAAGCUCAGUCAGUGAUUGGGACCUCAUGGUGCCAGGUGCCGUAUGGAGGGGUAAGGACCAAGACCUUAGUUGACCUAGAGACCUCAUGGCUUACAUGCCAGAUGGGAGCCCAGCAGCUGGAUGAAACAGAAAGAUGAAGUAUGAGAGGAGUUCUGCUGGAGCGAAUGGACAAAAGGAGCCACUCAGAGAAACGUGGCAAUGAUAAGAUACAUCCCCAAGUCUCUCCAGCAGUCCCAUUUAAGCGUGCUAUUACAAGACCAGUAACACGGCAAGUUCAGGCAAAUGGAUCUCGCCCGGCUCUCUGCUCCCACCACCCACUUCACAGCUGUCCCCAUCUGGAGGAUGAAAUAAUGAGAAGUUAUAAAGGAGGCUGCAAAGAAUCACCUACUAUCCUGCACCUGCCAAAAGGGUGGAUUAACUGUCUGGUUCUUUUAGGAAUGGAA